UGGGUGCAUUAUGAAAAAAUACCCGGGUGUUCUAUGCCAAAUUUUAACCAGAAUUCUACAUGCUAAUUUGUUUAGAAAAAAAUGAAUACAUGUGAAUGAAUUUUGAGUUAGGGAAUAUAAAUGAUAACUGGAUGGCAUUUUACAGAAUCCUUGGGUGUCCCAGUUAUUUAGAACAGUGAGUCCUACACUGAAAACAAUAGGAAAACACUCUUAUAAGCCAUACCUUCAUUUUGCCAAUUAAAUUUUAUUAUUAAAUAAUUUUUUCCUAUGUUUUCUAAAAGAGAUAAG
rnacentral:lncRNA from 1 species